GUAUGACUGGAGCAGAAAGCAGGUAACAUAGAUGAUAAAAUCCAGUAGAUUUUGUGGGAAAGCCGAUUGAUGGACUAUGGCAGAAAAUUGCCUUCUUUUUUAUUCACACACUCUUGCAGUGGUUGUAGAUAGGAGAGAGAACAAUGCAUUAUCAUAUCUGGUUUUUUGUUAGGUGUUUGUUUAAGUUUUUAAACUCCAAAUUUUAGGAAAAAGCAUGGAUGACUGUAUAUAGAUUACACAUCUUCAAGAAAUCAUUUGGAGCCAAUUUU
rnacentral:misc_RNA from 1 species